GUUGAAACAUCGCUUCUCGUACGACCACCGAAGUUAAGCAACGUUGAGCCUGGUCAAUACCAAGAUGAGUGACUGCUUGGGAAUACCAAGGGCUGUAAG